UACGGGGGGGGCAAGCGUUGUUCGGAAUUACUGGGCGUAAAGGGCUCGUAGGCGGCCAACUAAGUCGGACGUGAAAUCCCUCAGCUUAACUGGGGAACUGCGUCCGAUACUGGAUGGCUUGGAUUUGGGAGAGGGAUGCGGAAUUCCAGGUGUAGCGGUGAAAUGCGUAGAUAUCGGGAGGAACACCAGUGGCGAAGGCGACUUCCUGGCCUGUUCUUGACGCUGAGGCGCGAAAGCUAGGGGAGCAAACGGG
rnacentral:rRNA from 1 species